ensembl:lncRNA
CCGGCAGAGAGGCAAGCAGACUGCACUGUCUCAGGUCUUGCCAGGAACGGCAUUGGAUGGAGAUGUAACAUCCACUUCUAAUCAAGAUCCUGUGGGCAGGAUUGGAACAGCAAGUGGCUCUCCAGGGACAGUACAGACUGUCCAUUGAAUGUGGCCACCUGUGUCUUAUUGAACCUUGUCAUGAAGAGAGGAGGAGAGGAGAGAGUCCUCGGAGUGAGCUAGCGGAGGAGCCUCCAGUCGGUCCGGUGUUGCUGUGCUGUUCUAACGAGGGAGAGAGAAAAAGCCAGCGAUGAAAGGAACUGGGUGGCUGCGUUAGGAAAAGUACCCCUCACAGACUCACUCCGCAGACAAGACGGGAACCCUGCAGCAGCAGCCAUGUUGGGUAGUUUUGUCUGAGCUAACCUAACAGCAUAAAUGUCCUCCACAAACCAACAGAAGGUUACACAGUAAAAGCAGCAAAAUGAGAGUUUUCC